rnacentral:rRNA from 1 species
GAUGAACGCUGGCGGUCUGCUUAACACAUGCAAGUCGAACGGAACUCUUCGGAGUUUAGUGGCGGACGGGUGAGUAACGCGUGAGAAUCUGCCUUCAGGUUGGGGACAACAGUUGGAAACGACUGCUAAUACCCAAUGUGCCGAGAGGUGAAAGCUUUAGUGCCUGAAGAUGAGCUCGCGUCUGAUUAGCUAGUUGGUGAGGUAAUGGCUUACCAAGGCGACGAUCAGUAGCUGGUCUGAGAGGAUGAUCAGCCACACUGGGACUGAGACACGGCCCAGACUCCUACGGGAGGCAGCAGUGGGGAAUUUUCCGCAAUGGGCGCAAGCCUGACGGAGCAAGACCGCGUGAGGGAGGAAGGCUCUUGGGUUGUAAACCUCUUUUAUCAGGGAAGAAGAUCUGACGGUACCUGAUGAAUCAGCAUCGGCUAACUCCGUGCCAGCAGCCGCGGUAAUACGGAGGAUGCAAGCGUUAUCCGGAUUUAUUGGGCGUAAAGCGUCCGCAGGUGGUUUUUCAAGUCUGCUGUUAAAGCGCAGAGCUUAACUCUGUAACGGCGGUGGAAACUGAGAGACUAGAGUAUGGUAGGGGUAGCGGGAAUUCCCAGUGUAGCGGUGAAAUGCGUAGAUAUUGGGAAGAACACCAGCGGCGAAAGCGCGCUACUGGGCCAUAACUGACACUCAUGGACGAAAGCUAGGGGAGCGAAAGGGAUUAGAUACCCCUGUAGUCCUAGCUGUAAACGAUGGGUACUAGGUGUUGACCG